UCAAUAUUAGUUAUUAGUAUAUACAUUUUUGAGAUAUUUUAAUGAGUUACGUAAUAUUAUUAAUACGCGUAUGUAUAUUAUAUAAAAUGUAAUAUUUUAUAGGUACUUAUUUUUCAUAAAGUGUAUAAAAUUAUUAUUCCUACUUUGAAUGCGAAAAAAACAAAUUUGUAAAUAAGUACCUAAUAUUAUAUUAUAUAUUAGGCUUAAACAUAGUAUUAUUAUUAAAUUAGUUUUAAUAGAUAAUUAGAUUUAUAAUUCUGGGGCAACAAUAAUCUCACUUAAAUAUAUUUACAUGAGAUGAAAUUAUUAAAGUGCAAAGAAAAAAUAAAUAAAUGUAAACCAUAAAAAGUAGUCCAUUAAAAUAAUAUAAGAGUGAUAGCGUAUAAUUUAUUUAUUAAUAAAAAUCUUAACCGAAUCUGUUGCAGUAAUACUUCAUCUAAUAUUAUAUCUAUUAUAAUAUAAUAAUAUAUAUAUAUGGUACCAACAUGACUACAGAGAUUAAAAAUAAUAUAAUAAUUUACCUAUCUUAUAAUAAUUAUAAUUCAAACUAAAUAAAAAUCAAAAAUGCAUAGAAUAAACAUAGAAGUCGAAAUAAACUUAAGUGUAUAUACCAAUCUAUAUAGUAUAUAAAAGAUAUAGGCAUUAUGUAUUAUCAUCUAUAAACUAUAAAUUCAAAUCACACAAUUAAAAAAUGAAAAAAAUAGAAUGAAAAAAAAUCAUGAAGGGGAAUAAUAAAUUUAGCACCAAAAAA